rnacentral:lncRNA from 1 species
AAAAAGAAAGCAAAACAAAAAAACAGUGAAGGAUUGGAGAGAUUGUUCACUGGUUAGGAAAAGAACACUUACUACUCUUCCAGAGAACCUGAGUCCAGUUUUUAAUACCCGUGGCAGUCAGCUUACAACUCCAGCUCCAGGGAAUCUGAAAUUUUGGCAUUCUUGGUUACUAGAAUUCAUAUGCAUAUAUCUAUCUAUACACAUACAUGAGUAGCAUUAAAAAUAAAUGUUGGGGCUCACUGAUUCAGAGCAGAGGUCCAGGUUCAAGUCACAGCAUCCACAUGAUGGCUCACAACCAUAUAUAACAUCAUCCAUAAUGGUAUCUUCUGUCAUCAGUGACCAACAUGCACACAAGUGGUACAUAGACACAUGUACACACAAAACACUCAUAUACAUUAAAUUAAAUUUAAAAGAAAAAAAAUCCUAAAACACACCAAUGGGCUAGGCUUGGUGGUACACCAGCAGUCUGGAGGGAGAGGAGAGGCAGGGAGAUCUCUGUGAGUUUGGGGAUGGCCUGGUCUCCAUAGUAAGUUCCAGGAAGCCAGGCUAUAUAGAGAGAGUCUGUCUCAAAACAAAACAACAAACAAACAGUGUGGAUAGUGCUUGAAGAAUUAUAUCUGAGGUUUCUCUUUGGCUUCCAUACUCACAUGAGAACACAUACACAUAGUAACAUAAAAGAGGAAUCACAGAGGUUUCCUAUGAAGGCAGAAUUGAAUUUUGUCUAGGACUGGGCUAGAAAGACCUUUCAUCAUUAGGUGGAGACAUUGAGAUAGUACCUGGCUAAUAUUGCUGCCUUUUGAGAGGGUGUGGAAUGGUAUUCCUUCUAGUUUCAGAGCCCUCUGAAGAUUAUGCGCCAUCAUUACAUUUUCUGCCCAUAUAGCUGGAGGGCUUCUUUACUUUCUCUAUUAUGAAGUAAUAUGGUCCCGGCAAAAUGUUGCCCAUAGGUCACAAUCUUAAUGGAUAAUAAACAAGCAUAGUGCUCAUCUUGACUCAAGUAAUACAUACAAACACCACCAAUACUCCUUCCUAGUACUUUUUUCCCUCUUCUCACUGUGAUCUUAAAAUCUCUCCCUUCCCUUUCUUAUGCCUUUCCCCCCCCUUAACUUAGAUUUUAUUUUUGUGAUUAUUUUGCUUACAUAUAUGUACGUGUAUUACAUGUGUGCUUGGUGCCUUUGGAAGUCAGAAGAGGAUAUUGAGUACCUUGGAACUGGAGUUCUGGAUAGUUGUGACCCACCAUGAGGACGCUUGGAAUUGAACUGAGGUCUUCUGCAAGAGCAAGUGUCCUUAACUACUGAGUCAUCUCUCUAGCUCCUGCUUUUGUUUUUAACAAAACCUGUUGCUAUUAAAUCUAGUAGAGCUGUUCUUUUUGUACCUUGUGAUCAAUAAAUUGCUAUAUAUUUUACAGGGUUUUUCUUCAUUCUAUUUAGGACUAUUCACUCAAUUUAUAAUAAUUAUAUAGCUGUAUUUUAUUUUUUGUUUACUCACUGUGUGAAUAGGUGAAUAUUUGAGUUGUUUUUGUUUUUGACAGUAUAAACAAUUAAGCUUUCAUCACUUUUACAUAUUUUGACAGGUAAAAGACUUUUCAGGGAACACAUUAAAAUUGGUCUAUAGCAGUGGUUCUCAACCUUCUUAAUGUUGCAACCCUUCAAAACAGUUCACGUUGUUGUGGUGACCUCCCCACCCCCAACCAUAAAAUUAUUUCAUUACUACUUCAUAACUGUAAAUUUGCUAUUGUUACAAAUUGUAUUAUAAAAAUCUAAUAUGCAGGAUAUAUGAUAGGCAACCCUAAAGGGGUUGCAACCCACAGGUUGAGACCUGCUGAACUAUAGAGUUUAUCUGUAGUUAACUUUAUAGAUAAAAAAUGCCUGAUUUUUAGAAUUAUUGUAUUCAUUUAUAGUAAGAGUAUUUAGGAGUUCCUCUGUCUCCAUACUGUUAUCAGAAUUUUGUUGUUGUUGUUGUUGUUAUUGUUAUGGAAAUUGAACCCAGGGCCUUGCUCAUGCUAGGUCAGUACUCUACUUACCCAGUUUGUCAAACUUUUUUCUAGCAGUAGUACUUAACUAUGAUGUAUAUAUCAUAAAAGAAGCAUAAGUGUACAAUUUAAUUUAUAGCAUAUUUGAAUAUGCUAUAUGCAGUUAUUACCAUAAUCCAGUUCUAGAAAAUUUCAUCAACUUCUGAGGUUCCCUUUUUUUCCUUUGCUUUGUUUUAAAUCUCUAUAAAUGUUUAAUUUCUGGACAUCUCAUAUAAAGAUUUUGGCAUAGUGGUACACACCUUUAAUCUUAGCACUUGGGAGGAAGAGGCAGAAAUAGAUCUCCAUGAGUUCAAGGGUAGUCUGCCUUAUAUAGUGAGUUUCAGGACAUUUAGAACUGCAUCAUAUAGAGAGACCCUGUCUCAAAAAACAACAGAAGAAUUUCUUAUUUAAAAAUUUUAUGUGAUUGAAUUUUUGUCUGCAUAUAUGUCUGUGCAACACUUGUGUGCCUAGGGCCCUCAGAGGCCAGAAGAGGGUGUUAGAUCUGGCUUUUUAAAUUUAGCAUAUUUUUUCAGGUUUGUCUGCUUUGUGGCAAUGUUUUACAGUUUCUGUGUACUUGAGUUUUUAUUUGGGACUAUUACGAAUAAUACUUUUUUUUUAAAGAUUUGUCUGUUUAUCAUAUGUAAGUACACUGUAGCUGUUCUUAGACACCCCAGAAAAGGGUAUCAUAUCUCAUUUUGAAUGGCUGUGAGCCUCCAUGUGGUUGCUGGGAUCUGAACUCGGGACCUUUGGAAGAACAGUCAGCGCUCCCAACUGCUGAGCCAUCUCUCCAGCACCACGAAUAAAACUUCUAAAUGAUCUGUUUAUUUGUACUUUAUAUGCGUUGGUGUUUUACCUGCAUGUAUGUCUGAGUGAAGGUGUCAGAUCCCCAAGAACUGGAGUUAUGGACAGUUGUGAGUUGCCAUAUGGGUGCUGAGAAUUAAACCCUGGUUUUUUGGAAGAGCAUCCAGUGCUCUGCUGAGCCAUCUCUCCAGCUCCAUGAAUAAUCUUUCUAUGUAUAUGGACUUAUACAUGUAUGUAGAUAUUCUUUCUUUUGAGUAACACCUAUGAAUAGAAUAAUGCACAUUUUGUAAAUAUGUGUAUGUUUUGUUUUGCUUUUACAUAUGUUUACUAUUUUGUGAAUGUGUGGAUGUGCCUUUGCUAUAGCAUAUAUGUGAAGGCCAGAGAGCAACCUACAGUAAGUAGUCUAUUCUUUCCCCCUACUGUGUGGGUUCUAGGAAUUGAACCCAGGUUGUCAGUUUUGGUGGCAAGUACAUUCAUCUACCAGCAAUCUAUUGGUCCUACUACACUCUCUUAAUUACUGGACUCUCCUAUAUCUCUGACUGCUUGAAUAAGUUCCUAAACUUGUUCUGUUCAAAGUUGACCUUUUUCUUAAUUUUAAAUUAAAAGGUAGAUGGCUAUGGUGGCAUACACCAUUAAUCCUAGAACUCAGUAGGCAAGGUAGAUCUCUGAGUUUGAGCCCAGCCUGGUCUAAAGAGUGAGUUCUAGGACAGCCACAGCUACAUAAGACCAAGAUUUUGUCUCAAAAAGACAAAAGCACAGGGCUGGAGAGAUGGAUGGCUCAGUGAGUUGUUAAGGGCACUGACUGCUCUUUCAGAGGGCUUGGGUUCAAUUCCCAGCACCCACGUGGCAGCCCACACCUGUCUGUAACUCUACUUAUAGAAGACCUGACAAAACACCAAUGCACAUAAGAUAAACAUUUUUAAAAACAAUAAUUAUAAGCAGAAUUACAAAGAACAACAAGAAGCAAAAUUAUAUUUAUGUACUUGUAUGUGUGGGCAUGGGGGGGGGGGAUCAGGAAAUAGCUUGUGAGAGUUCUUUUCUUUCACCUUGAAAAUCCUGGAGAUCAAAGUUGGUAAUCAGGCUUGACAGCAAUUGCCUUUAACACACUGAGCCAUCUUAUCAGCUGGCCCCAAACUGACCUCUGCCUUUCUCCACAAAGAUUAAAAUUUCCAGGACAAGUUUAACUCUUUUCUGAUUACUAGUUUGGUUCAAGAAUAAAAUCUCUCUCUCUCUUUCUUUAAUUUAUGUGUAAGAGUAUUUUGCCUGCACAUGUGUAUAUCCACCAUGUGUGUGCAUGGUGUCUGUGGAGAACAGAAGAAAGCAUUAGAUCUUCUGGAACUGGAGUUACAGAUGGUUAAGAGCUACCACAUGAAUGCUGUGAACCAAACCCAGGGCCCCUGCAAGAGCAACAAAUACUCCUGAGCCAUUUCUUAGCCCCUCCAGUAAAGUCUUUUUUGUUGUUUUUGGUUUUUGAGACAGUGUUUCUUUGUGUAAGAGCCCCUGUUGUCCUGGAAUACUCUUUGUACACUAGGCUGUCCUCAGAUUCCCUUGCCUCUGCCUUCUGAGUACUGAGAUUAAAGGUGUGUGCCAAUACACACCCAGCUUAAAGGUAGGUUUGCAUGAAGUCU